ACUAAAUAGUAGGGAAUAGGUGUAAAUGAAGAUCAUAGUUUGAAAUCAUUUACUUAAAAGGGAAGUUUGGUUUAAUUCCAACACGGUCCCGCCACUGUAAUAGAGGAGUAAAUAAGAAGAUGCCACUUAUUAAUUUAGGGAAGGCUUUUAUUUACAAAGAUUCUUAAGUCAGGAGACCUGCCUAUUCUAACGACGCUGU
rnacentral:ncRNA from 2 species